UGUACUCACUAGUUCUCGUCUGAUCCCCGCAGCUAAGCAGCAUCGGACGAUGUCAGUACUUGGGAGGGUGACCUCCUGGGAACACCGCGUGCUGUU